GAUGAACGCUGGCGGCGUGCUUAACACAUGCAAGUCGAACGAUGAAGCUCAGCUUGCUGGGUGGGUUAGUGGCGAACGGGUGAGUAACACGUGAGUAACCUGCCCUUAACUCUGGGAUACGCCUUGGAAACUAGGUCUAAUACCGGAUAGGAGCGCCUACCACAUGGUGGGAGUUGGAAAGAUUUAUCGGUUUUGGAUGGACUCGCGGCCUAUCAGCUUGUUGGUGAGGUACUGGCUCACUAAGGCGACGACGGGUAGCCGGCCUGAGAGGGUGACAGGCCACACUGGGACUGAGACACGGCCCAGACUCCUACGGGAGGCAGCAGUGGGGAAUAUUGCACAAUGGGCGAAAGCCUGAUGCAGCGACGCCGCGUGAGGGAUGACGGCCUUCGGGUUGUAAACCUCUUUCAGUAGGGAAGAAGCGAAAGUGACGGUACCUGCAGAAGAAGCACCGGCUAACUACGUG
rnacentral:rRNA from 1 species